UUCCUACGGGGGGCAGCAGUGGGGAAUAUUGCACAAUGGGGGGAACCCUGAUGCAGCGACGCCGCGUGAGUGAAGAAGUAUUUCGGUAUGUAAAGCUCUAUCAGCAGGGAAGAAAAUGACGGUACCUGACUAAGAAGCCCCGGCUAACUACGUGCCAGCAGCCGCGGUAAUACGUAGGGGGCAAGCGUUAUCCGGAAUUACUGGGUGUAAAGGGAGAGUAGGCGGCAAGGUAAGCGAUAUGUGAAAGCCUUAAGCUUAACUUAAGGAUGGCAUAACGAACUAUCUAGCUAGAGUACAGGAGAGGA
rnacentral:rRNA from 1 species